GAACGCUGGCGGCGUGCUUAACACAUGCAAGUCGAACGCGAACGGGGCUUCGGCCCCAAGUAGAGUGGCGCACGGGUGAGUAACGCGUGGACAAUCUGCCCUUAUGACUGGAAUAACAGUUGGAAACGGCUGCUAAUACCGGAUACGCUCAGGAAGAACUUUUUGAGGAAAGGCGGCCUCUGCUUGCAAGCUGUCGCAUAAGGAUGAGUCCGCGUCCCAUUAGCUAGUUGGCGGGGUAACGGCCCACCAAGGCAACGAUGGGUAGCCGAUUUGAGAGGAUGAUCGGCCACACUGGGACUGAAACACGGCCCAGACUCCUACGGGAGGCAGCAGUGGGGAAUAUUGCGCAAUGGGCGAAAGCCUGACGCAGCGACGCCGCGUGAGGGAUGAAGGGUUUUUUCCGGAUCGUAAACCUCUGUCAGAAGGGAAGAAACUGCCGUGCUCUAAUCAUCAUGGCAUUGACGGUACCUUCAAAGGAAGCACCGGCUAACUCCGUGCCAGCAGCCGC
rnacentral:rRNA from 1 species